rnacentral:snRNA from 1 species
GGAUGCGAGGACAAUCUGACUGUGACUUGUGUCACCCCAUGGAUCACCAGGGUUGAUCUGGCUGGCUAGGCGGGUGUCCCCUUCCUCCCUCAAAACACCAUGUGCAUGCCUCCCGAAGCUGCAUGCUUGGUCUGAGGACGAAAUUCUCAAAGCCUUCCUCUGUAGAUGACCAUCCUUUGGUCAUAGGUAUAUAUAAUCAGCUGUGGUUCCCUACUAGAACCUCCAAACAAGCUUUCAAAGUCCAGAAAGGAACCGGGAGGGGAGGGAGGAUGUGAGAGUUG